rnacentral:rRNA from 1 species
AGUGGCGGACGGGUGAGUAACACGUAAGAAUUUGCCUUUAGGAGGGGGAUAACAACUGGAAACGGUUGCUAAUACCCCAUAUGCUUUCGAGUGAAACGGUUUUUCCGCCUAAAGAGAAGCUUGCGGCUGAUUAGCUUGUUGGUGAGGUAAUGGCUCACCAAGGCGACGAUCAGUAUCUGGUUUGAGAGGACGAUCAGACACACUGGAACUGAGACACGGUCCAGACUCCUACGGGAGGCAGCAGUGGGGAAUUUUCCGCAAUGGGCGAAAGCCUGACGGAGCAAUACCGCGUGACGGAUGAAUGCCUAUGGGUUGUAAACCUCUUUUUUCAGGGAGGAAUAAAAUGACGUGUACCUGAAGAAUAAGCAUCGGCUAACUCCGUGCCAGCAGCCGCGGUAAGACGGGGGAUCCAAGUGUUAUCCGGAAUCACUGGGCGUAAAGCGUCUGUAGGUGGUUUAAUAAGUCAACUGUUAAAUCUUGAGGCUCAACCUCAAAAUCGCAGUCGAAACUGUUUGACUAGAGUAUAGUAGGGGUAAAGGGAAUUUCCAGUGGAGCGGUGAAAUGCGUAGAGAUUGGAAAGAACACCAAUGGCGAAGGCACUUUACUGGGCUAUUACUAACACUGAGAGACGAAAGCUAGGGUAGCAAAUGGGAUUAGAUACCCCAGUAGUCCUAGCUGUAAACAAUGGAUACUAGAUGUU